UAUCACUAAGAUGAGCAAUCGGGCCCUCUUCCGCGUCCGAGCUAUGUAACNUUGAAGAACGGUAUCUUUGGUUUUGGCUCUUGUCUAUGUUCCUUGGAACAGGACGUCACAGAGGGUGAGAAUCCCGUGCGAUGAGAUGCCCAAUUCCAUGUAAAGUUCCUUCGACGAGUCGAGUUGUUUGGGAAUGCAGCUCUAAGUGGGUGGUAAAUUCCAUCUAAAGCUAAAUAUUGGCGAGAGACCGAUAGCGAACAAGUACUGUGAAGGAAAGAUGAAAAGAACUUUGAAAAGAGAGUGAAAAAGUACGUGAAAUUGUUGAAAGGGAAGGGCUUGAGAUCAGACUUGGAAUUUUCCAGCAAUGGAGCUUUCCGGGCCAGCAUCAGUUUGGAUGGCAGGAUAAUUGCGUAGGAAAGUGGCACCACCUCGGUGGUGUGUUAUAGCCUGCGUCGAUACUGCCUAUCUAGACUGAGGACUGCGUCUUUGACUAGGAUGCUGGCAUAAUGAUCUUAAGCC
rnacentral:rRNA from 1 species